CAUUUACUAAAAUUAUUAUUAUAAAUUUAUUUAUUUGCUUCAAUUGACAGUCAUGUUCUGAUGAAGACAGUAGCAAAACAAACAAGAAUGAUUUCAAAGAAACAUCGGAUCCUGACAAAUGUGUCAUUGGUAGUGUGCCUGACAUUUCCAAAGAAGUUGUUUCAGCCAUCUCCACUGUUGAAGUCCAUUGUCUCUUCAGUAAUACCCCUUCCAUCUCUGGUGGAGAUGAAGUUAUUUGGUGUAUUGACACUAAAGAUAUUUGCACCAAUGCACCACCCAUCUCAGCUGACAACCUCACCAUGUCUUCUGUUGCUGCUGCCAUUACUAUUGAUGAGACUGCUACCUUGUCUAGUGAAACAUCUGCCUUCUUUAGUGGCUACACCCACAGCUUUUCGAUUGGUCCCACUUUCAGUGACACUGGACACACACCGUGCUUCUCUGCUAGCAACACCACUGGGGCAUCCCAUAGUCCCACCCAAACCAAUGCACCCAGCAUUUUUUUAGUACAUACCUUGACCUAUUUGAGGAAGAAUACCUCUCUGAUGACGCUGAUCUCCAGGAAGCCAUUUUAAGGUCCUUAGAGUCCAGCACAAAUGAGAGUGAUUCAAGGAUGACUUUAGAGAGAAUAAUGGAGCAGAUUGGUUCAAGAGUAAAUAAUGACAGCAUUGUACGCUUCAAUAUCAUAAGAAGAAAUGUGUGGGAUGGAACAUCCAGAUCAAUGGGCAGAUCCAAUUUUUCACCCGAGAAGAAGGUGGAUGUUAAGUUUACUGAUGACUAUGGAACAUCUGAGGGUGCUAUGGACAAUGGAGGGCCUACU